rnacentral:rRNA from 1 species
UAAUACGUAGGGGGCGAGCGUUGUCCGGAUUUACUGGGUGUAAAGGGCGCGUAGGCGGAUUUGUAAGUCAGUGGUGAAAUCCUACAGCUUAACUGUAGAACUGCCUUUGAUACUGCAAAUCUUGAGUUCGGAAGAGAGUAGCGGAAUUCCAGGUGUAGUGGUGAAAUACGUAGAUAUCUGGAAGAACACCAGUGGCGAAGGCGGCUACUUGGUCCGUAACUGACGCUGAGGCGCGAAAGCGUGGGGAGCAAACAGGAUUAGAUACCCUGGUAGUCCACGCUGUAAACGAUGAAUACUAGGUGUUGGCCUCAUUAGGGGUCAGUGCCGCAGCUAACGCAUUAAGUAUUCCACCUGGGGAGUACGAUCGCAAGGUUGAAACUUAAAGGAAUUGACGG